rnacentral:rRNA from 1 species
CAGUAGCCGCGGGAAAACAGAGGAUGCAAGCGUUAUCCGGAAUUAUUGGGCGUAAAGCGAGCGCAGGCGGUUAGAUAAGUCUGAAGUUAAAGGCUGUGGCUUAACCAUAGUACGCUUUGGAAACUGUUUAACUUGAGUGCAAGAGGGGAGAGUGGAAUUCCAUGUGUAGCGGUGAACUGCGUAGAUAUAUGGAGGAACACCGGUGGCGAAAGCGGCUCUCUGGCUUGUAACUGACGCUGAGGCUCGAAAGCGUGGGGAGCAAACAGGAUUAGAUACCCGCGUAGUCCCUGUCUCUUAUACA